GGCUUCCUGUAACAAUUGUGAGUUAAUCGCUUCUUUGAAAUUAAGAAUAGGAUUAAAAAAAAAUAGGAUAAUAAAAAUUCUUUAUUACAUGAGAUUGUAUAAUUGUUUCCGAGGAAACAGCAUUUCGUGUUUUUAUAUGGAUGAAAUCUUUUCAUCUUCAAUACUUUUUACCCACAACAAAUUCUAAAGCAAAAGGAGGCGUUUUUU